rnacentral:sRNA from 1 species
UUUUAAAAUAUUUUUGAAGUCUAAAAGCUUGAGAUGAAAAACCAUGGUUAUAAGAAAUUUUCAGAUUUCAAACAAAUUUUAAUUUCUGUGUGAAGUUUUUUGUGUACUGUCAGACAGAAAAAAUAAAAUAUUUUAAAGACAUUUCUUGUUUUUUUCUAUUACCAUUAUUGUUUUAAUUUUUUAUUUUUAGCUUUUUAGAUUUUUUGUUGUGUCAAGAUGUGAACUGAAUAAAAUUUCCUCC